GACAAUCGCCGCGCCUUAGGUAGGGAUUAGUAUUGCUGAUUCCGCUUGGGAAUCCGGUGCGCUGGCAUGUGCUUAUGCCCAGCAAGUCCGGAGCUGCCCCCGCAACGGUGGGCGGGCCUAGAUGUUGAAUGCCUCACGUUGAUCCUUUCUCUGCGAGCAUUCAAAGUCCAGCGAAAACAACUGAUAGCCACUGUGCGCUUGCAUGGGAAGGCGUUGUUUUCGGAAGCUUAGGCUUCACCCGCAAGCCCGGAGACCGACCUUCGGUACAUUCUGUGC
rnacentral:ncRNA from 2 species